CCGAGAAUCAAUUACAACCAAAAUAAAAGAGCCUUUAAUAGGUAUUGUUAAGUACCCCCAACUACUAUUAACCUUUAGGAAAUCACUAGCUGGGUACACCUGUCCAAUAUUAAACCUGUUUCUUAUGAGUCCCUGUAGGAGUAAAAGGAGGACAUCAUGACCUACACUUGUGAACUUGUAGCAGGAUGAGCCGCAGACAAAACCUCUCAGACACCGAGUUGUAGAAGGAAGGGCUUUAUUCAGCUGGGAGCAUCGGCAAGCUACUGCCUUAAAAUCCGAACUCCCCAAGAGAGCAAUUCCUGUCCCUUUUAAGGGCUCACAACUCUAAGGAUUUCACAUGAAAGGGUCGUGAUUGAUUUGGAGCAAGCAAGGGGUACGUGACAGGGGCUGCAUGCACCGGUGGUCAGAGAGAAACAGAACAGGGCAGGGAGUUUCACAAUGUUCUUCUGCACAAUGUCUGGAAUCUAUGAAUAACAUCGGUUUUUAAGUUAUGAGUUGAUUUUUAACUACUGGGUUUAGGCCAGGCAGGCCCAGGCUUGGUUUCGGGCCUGGCGCUGGGCUGCCUGUCUUUGGUUUUACUUCCUUGUUUUUUUUUUUUUUUUUUCUUAAAAUAGGUACUGAGUAUAAAACAAUAUAAAACAAUAUGAGAAGGUCUCUCUCUCCCCUCAUUUCCCCCCUUUGAGACUCUCACUUUCUAUUAGUGGGAGUUCUGACUUUUAUUUUUGCUACUUAUGUCUUUUUGUGCAAUAGAUUGAUAGUGAUUUAUAUAGUACACUUGUGCUAAAGCAUUUUGGUGAACUAAGAUAGUGAUGAAGCUUUUUAUCAUUUGAAGAAGUACAGGUAGCAAACAAGGAAGCAGUAAACAGGUUCUUAUUACUAUUAUAAAUUCUAUUAUAAGAGUUUUAAAUCCUUCUAGUGCUGGGAACUAAUUUUUAAACAUGGCUUCAGGAUCGAAUUCAUGCUACACUUGCAUGGGCACAUGUGUCAGUUUUGUCAUAUUUUUAACUAUGUCUUUAACUACUUGCCUUUGAUUAUCUAUGUGUAGACAGUAAUUAGUAAGGUUAAAUUUCUUAUAGACCUCUCUUUCAGCUGCUAGCAAGUAGUUGAGAGCCAAUCUAUUUUGAUAGAUAGCAUUUCUUAUCUGAGUUUCUUGCUGGGCCAGAAUAGUCAAGGCUUGACUGGUUUUACUAGUGAUGAUUUCUAAAACAGCUUGCAGCUGUAUGAUUCAGUUGAGCAUGUAAGUGGGGGUCCAGUAUCCCCAUGAGCCGUCUUGUGUCUAAGUGGCAGGCCUAUAGUAUUAUAUAAUUUUUUUUUGAAGGUCAUUUAUCAUCUUUCCAAUUUCCUAUGGCUAUGCUUCAUUUUCCGCGGGAAGCAUAGACAGGGAAGCCCAGGAGUUUGCCUGUUUUUAUGGUCAGUAGAAAGAAAGAUGGUUUAAUAGUGCCAAUAACACAACUACCUGUCCACUGGUCAGGCAGCUUAGCUUAAGCUCUAUGUCUACGUAUUCAGUAUAACUUGGUGGGGGCAGUCCAGUCCCGGUGGAAUUCCAGGUGGGCCCAGACAGUCUGCAACCUUGGAAAUUUACUGAAUGGAUCUCUUUCUAUAUAAUUGGAACUUCACCAUGUAACUGUUUUUUUGCGGUACCAUUAUACAGUUCUUGGCCCAAACAACUAAGACAUCCUAUAGAAUGAGUGAAUUCUUUCUUUUUUCUAGCUAUGUAAUAUUGUCCAAUAAUUGAGACUUUUAGAACCUAGAGAUGAUCAGGGUGAUUCUUGUGGGCCAGGAAUUCAUCAGGAACUGCGUCUGUAGGCACUAAUUCUUGGGCUUUUUAUGGCCAUUGAGCUCUUAUUACAGUUUUUUCACAAACAUAACAUGAAGUGACAUUUAGAGACUGGGCUACACGCUCGGCUAAUUGCAAAAACAAAUUUCUGGUUUUUCCUGGAGUCUCUUGGUACUGGCAAAUUUAGUUCAUCAUAGAAAGUCUGAAAUACUGGUUCCAGAGAGAGUUUACAAAACUCCUCUUUUACUAAGAUAUUUGCUGUAGGACCUAGUCUUUUCCUAUUGAUGCCCAGAGAUACGUGUUCUCCUUUUUUCUACCUUGGGUUUAAGGGAUUUGUAAUUAUUAAUUUCAAGGGGUUCCAAUGUCCACUCGUAUAGGAGGGGCUGCAUUCUCCUUUUUGGAGCUAAACAGGAUCUUUUUCAUCCUUUUUCUAAGUAGUCUAGAUGACACAAGACCAGUAAUUACACACAUUUGCACAUGAGCUUAAUUCAUGGCAGAUAUACUUAUUUCCUGCCGUGUAAACUUUUUUUUUUUCAACUUAAAGAACUGCAUCUUAUUUUAUGCCAAUUACUAUUGAUAGUGGCACAAGCAUUAAAUUUUAGGGUUAUAUGCUUGGAGACCCCUCUUUCUUCUGUCCUAGCUAUUACUUUACUUGUGUCGCCUAGAAAAGGACCAGUCAUUAAUUUUAUUUUAAAAACUGAUCAUGGGAGGCUUAAAAUGGGUCAUAACACGCAUCAGGUUGGUUAUUUCCUGGGCUACAUACCUUGGAUAGAAUUGCAUUAUACAAACAACUUUUAGAGUCCUGGUACACUUAUAAUAACCAUAAAAUAAUAAGACUUUAGCAAUCUUUUGUCCCUCAGUGACUUGAUGUAUAUACUGGGAACAGCCCUCAGUCUUAGGAAGGUCAGUUGAAGUCCUUACAAUACAAGUCCAAAUUUUAAGGAAAAUGAGUCCCCUGCUAUGAGUUUCCUCAUGCUUCAGCUGUGUGUGGACCAGUCAGCUUCCGGGUAUGACUGGAGCAGGGCUUGUCGUCUUCUUCAGAGUCACUUUGCAGGGGUUGGCGAAGCUGCUCCCAUCCGCGUACAGCUCCCAGUCUACUGCUGUUUAAGGAUGGUCUCGGAGUUUGGGCCCACUAGAAUAAACUGAUUUCAGAUGUCCGGACUCCAAGUGCCAGUUCCUUCCUGGUGUUCAGCCACUGUGUUAAUCCUCUGUGGGGGCCUGCUACAUGCUGCUCUGGCGACGCGUUCCACUGGGGCAAUUGCCUACCCGGGAGCACUCUUUGGAUCGCGUCACUCAAGCUGUCUGGAGUCCCCCACAGGGACGCUCCACAGGGCAGGUUUAAGCCGGCCGUCAGUCACCUCGCUUCCCGGUCAGGGAACCAAGAAAUGUAGCAGGACAAGCCGCAGACAAAAACCUCUCAGACACCGAGUUGUAGAAGGAAGGGCUUUAUUCAUCUGGGAGCAUCGGCAAGCUACUGCCUUAAAAUCCGAACUCCCCGAGUGAGCAAUUCCUGUCCCUUUUAAGGGCUCACAACUCUAAGGAUUUCACAUGAAAGGGUC
rnacentral:lncRNA from 1 species